UUGGUUUGAGGGCAUUCACUGGAUGAUUGUAAAUUAUAUUCGGUUAUACUUGAACACGCACAGUAAAAAAGUACCUUAUUUGGUACCUAGGCGUAUAUUUCUGCCUGUUUUUUGAAAACGACAAAAGGUGUAUUUGAAUUUUGGUAUUUGAAUACCAAAAGAAAGGGAAGUGUGAGAGUGACCGUGUGGACAGAAUGUGAACAUACGGCAUCAUUGAGCCCGGGAACUGAGCGGCAGCGGCCAGGAAGGGAGUCGCUACUAAACCCGUCACCAAGAUUACUUAGAUCGAUCUCGGAGCGACUGCGGUCUGGAAAGACAGACAAUCAGAGAGAGAGAUACAUGCCGGAUGCUGUCAUCUGUAGCCAGGUCCAGAGGUGUCUUGCCUUCUGAAUUCCUGCAUUUCCCAUCAGCCCCAUGUUCCAGCAACAGUGCCACUUCCUUGGCUCCACCGAACCGAACUGCAGCAUGCAGU